rnacentral:tRNA from 1 species
AGCAGUGUGGCUUAGUGGAAAGAGCCCAGGCUUGGGACUCGGAGGUCGUGGGUUCUAAUCCCGUCUCCGCCA